rnacentral:lncRNA from 1 species
AUGAGGGCCCAGAGACGCUCGGGGGGGUCGGGGGGGCGCCCCCCCACAUCCACACGUGGCCGGGGGGGCAGGAGGCGUGGUCACACAGACCACACCCCUCAGCCCGAUAGCAAAGCCAAACUCAGGGAGAUGGACACGCCUCCACAGGCCAGGUCCCCUGUCCCCGCCCAUAGGAAGCAGGAAGCUCAGAUCAGGCUAGGAGGCGACCCAGCAGAGCCAAUCGGGAGCAGGGUGGUGGAGGCAAAUGGGGAGGGGCAUAAAAAGGUGAUUAAGAGAAAACGAGAAAAGAGAAAAAUCGCAGAGGAGAGAAGAACUCCGGCCGCCGCUGUGCAAUGCAGCAGCAACAAGAACAACAUCUCCAUCAUCACCACCAGCAGCAACAGCUCAGACUCCAAGAACAAUAUAAACAACAACAGCUCCAAAUGCAACUCUGGAACAAACAGCUCCAACUCCUCAGCAGCCAUCCACUCCAGCAUAUCAUCCAAUCACAGUGGAGCUAACAUCAUAUCAUCCAAUCACAGUGGAGCUAAUAGCUCCUCAGCCAGUCACAGUGGAGCUAACAUCAUAUCAUCCAAUCACAGUGGAUCUGUCACCACCUCAACUCAUCAUACUGUACCCAAAAGUACAUCCACUAAUAAUAUCAGCGCUAGUAUCACAUCAGCCAAUCACAGCUCUAGCAGCAGCCAUUCCAGUCGAAAGACGGCCACCUUCAAAGCCAGAGUGCCUAAGAAGAAGUCCAUGUACGAGCACUGUGCAGCUAGCGCUGUAGCUAGCGCUGUAGCUAGCGCUGUAGCUAGCGCUGUAGCUAGCGCCGCGGCUCAAGGCCAGCGCCCUACCUCUGCCCCAAACCCCAACCUUAACGCCAUCAUUAAACCUGUCGCUACCUGUAACGCCAAGGCUAUCCCCAACGCCAACCUUAACGCCAUCAUUAAACCUGUCGCUACCUGUAACGCCACGGCUAGCCCUACCUCUAUCCCCAACCCCAACCUUAAUGCCGACAUUUACCCAACUAGCGCAAAAGCUAGCCCUAGCUCCAAACCCAACCUUAGCACAAACAUUGAUGCUUAUCUACCCUAUAAUGCUAACGGUAGUCCUACCUCUAACCCACACCCUAACCUUUCCACAGCACAACACAUUAAUGUUAAACUAACCUUUAAUGCCAAGGCUACUCCUACCUCUAACCCUACCCCUACCUCUAGCACUGGCCCCGGUGCUGGAGCUAACAGCAGCUAUAUAGCUAACAGCACCUCUAUAGCUAACAGCAGUGCUAAUGCUAUCUGUACCCCACACACCAGUGCUGGAGCUAACAGCACCUCUAUAGCUAGCAGCAGUGCUAAUGCUAUCUGUACCCCACACACCAGUGCUGGAGCUAACAGCACCUCUAUAGCUAGCAGCAGUGCUAAUGCUAUCUGUACCCCACACACCAGUGCUGGAGCUAACAGCACCUCUAUAGCUAACAGCAGUGCUAAUGCUAUCUGUACCCCACACACCAGUGCUGGAGCUAACAGCACCUCUAUAGCUAGCAGCAGUGCUAAUGCUAUCUGUACCCCACACACCAGUGCUGGAGCUAACAGCACCUCUAUAGCUAGCAGCAGUGCUAAUGCUAUCUGUACCCCACACACCAGUGCUGUCAGCACAGCGUCAGAAGGAGGGUUUGCAGCUGAGCAGGACGGCUGUGACAGUACCAGAGCUGGACCUGCAGGGGGCGCCAAUGGCCCAGGCUGCAGAGAGAGCAGGACUCUAACUCACACUAACACACACACACACUCCAACCGGGAAAUACAAGCACACACACACACAUACUCGGACCAGACACCUCAAACACAUACAGACACAGACACACACUCUGACCCAGAGACACAAACACACACACACACACACUCCAUCAGCCCCCCCGGUGCAAACACACACUCUCUGCCGUCACUCCCCCUGCUCCAGGCACUCAGUUCCGGCCUGAGGGCCCAGAGGGUGUUGGUGUCCUGC